CACAAUCCCCAGAUAGAGAGGCUACACCAAAGCACCGCAGUUUCAUCACAGGCUUUGGACACCAUUCAGAAAGCACCACUGUGCCAGUCCCAGUCUUGCUUUCAUCCAGGACACGGAAACCCAACGAGCACAGCUUGGAGAGAAGGCACAGGUGGCCCAAGGGCAGGGCCAGCUUCAGGCAGGGGCCUGUGAAACAAUAACACAAGAGUCCUGCUGCAGAGUCAGGCAGGAAGGAGGGAGAUGUAUCAGAUCCCACCAGAGCCCUGGGGAGGAUUUGAACAGGGCCUGGACACAGGGCUUGCUGGAGGCUGAAAGAGAGAAUAGCACCAUGAAGAAAAAAGGAAUUCCAUUAUUCUGUUCAGAYGCAGCCCAGCCCCAAGUUCUUGUGCUUACCAAGCCUUGCCAGGAGAUGAGCAAGAACCCUGUCACCCCUCCUUGCUGUUGAUCAGAGUGGCAGAAGGCAGGCUACUCCUCCUCUGGUGACACAAAGAAGAAUCUGUCUUUCCCUCUGCUGAAGCUGACAUCAAACAGCAACUUCACCACAUCAUAAGUUACAAUUCAGGUUACUCCUGGAAAAAGAUGAUCCUUUCCUAAUUAAAUGCUAAAGCUCCCUGGCAUUUCUCUUUCUAUUGUCUGUAUCCAGCCCUGUAUUUAAAAGAUUAGCCUCAAAUUAGGACAGUUUCCUCAUUCUUUCUUCACUCUUACUACAGCCUAGCUCCUGGGAAUCUGAUCCUAUCUUCCACAGAGGUUACUCCCUGUUGAUAGGA